rnacentral:rRNA from 1 species
GACGAACGCUGGCGGCGUGCCUAAUACAUGCAAGUAGAACGCACAGUUUAUACCGUAGCUUGCUACACCAUAGACUGUGAGUUGCGAACGGGUGAGUAACGCGUAGGUAACCUGCCUGGUAGCGGGGGAUAACUAUUGGAAACGAUAGCUAAUACCGCAUAAUAUUAAUUAUUGCAUGAUAAUUAAUUGAAAGGUGCAAUUGCACCACUACCAGAUGGACCUGCGUUGUAUUAGCUAGUAGGUGAGGUAACGGCUCACCUAGGCGACGAUACAUAGCCGAACUGGGAGGGUGGUCGGCCAAACUGGGACUGAGACACGGCCCAGACUCCUACGGGAGGCAGCAGUAGGGAAUCUUCGGGAAUGGACGAAAGUCUGGCCGAGCAACGCCGCGUGAGUGAAGAAGGUUUUCGGAUCGUAAAGCUCUGUUGUAAGAGAAGAACGGGUGUGAGAGUGGAAAGUUCACACUGUGACGGUAUCUUACCAGAAAGGGACGGCUAACUACGUG